GAUGAAGAACGCAUCGAAAUGCGAUAAGUAAUGUGAAUUGCAGAAUUCAGUGAAUCAUCGAAUCUUUGAACGCACAUUGCGCCCGCUAGUAUUCUGGCGGGCAUGCCUGUUCGAGCGUCAUUUCAACCAUCAAGCCCCCGGCUUGUGUUGGGGACCUGCGGCUGCCGCAGGCCCUGAAAACCAGUGGCGGGCUCGCUGUCACACCGAGCGUAGUAGAUUUUCAUCUCGCUCAGGGCGUGCUGCGGGUUCCGGCCGUAAAAAGCCUUAUUUACCCAAGGUUGACCUCGGAUCAGGUAGGAAGACCCGCUGAACUUAAGCAUAUCAAUAAGCGGAGGA
rnacentral:misc_RNA from 1 species